GACGAACGCUGGCGGCGUGCUUAACACAUGCAAGUCGAGCGGUAAGGCCCUUUCGGGGGUACGACGAGCGGCGAACGGGUGAGUAACACGUGGGUGACCUGCCCUCAGCUCUGGGAUAAGCCUGGGAAACCGGGUCUAAUACUGGAUAUGACUCCAUGACGCAUGUUGUGGGGUGGAAAGCCUUGUGCGGCUGAGGAUGGGCCCGCGGCCUAUCAGCUUGUUGGUGGGGUGANGGCCUACCAAGGCGACGACGGGUAGCCGGCCUGAGAGGGCGACCGGCCACACUGGGACUGAGACACGGCCCAGACUCCUACGGGAGGCAGCAGUGGGGAAUCUUGCGCAAUGGGCGAAAGCCUGACGCAGCGACGCCGCGUGAGGGAUGA
rnacentral:rRNA from 1 species